ACCCUUGUGGAGGAGGACGCCGAAGGUGGGGCUAAUGACUGGGGUGAAGUCGUAACAAGGUAGCCGUACCGGAAGGUGCGGCUGGAUCACCUCCUAACAGGGAGACAACAAAAUGUUUAUAUUAUUAUUUUGUCACCUUAGGUCGAUCGGUAUCUCACAUUUUUAAUUUAUUAAGAAUUUCAUUUCCUAAGUUUUUCUAGGUCACACCCAUUAUUUUUCCUGGGCCAUUAGCUCAGGUGGUUAGAGCGCACCCCUGAUAAGGGUGAGGUCCCUGGUUCAAGUCCAGGAUGGCCCAUAUCUCUAUGUUGGGGGUAUAGCUCAGUUGGUAGAGCGCCUGCUUUGCAAGCAGGAUGUCAGCGGUUCGAGUCCGCUUACCUCCACUGAUUACCACCUCUUCCAUAUUCGUUAGAAAGGAAAUGUUUUGAGAUGUGAUCAAAUUCUGAACGAAUCUAGCUUCCUAAUCAAUCAUAUUAAGAUGCUGGACUCAUUGAAUUUACUUCAUUGUUUUCAGAGAACCUUGACAACUGCAUAGAUUAUUUUUAAAGACAAUAAGCAUCUUUAAUGAUGCAGAUUUAUUAUUUGUGCGAAUGCAUUAAUAACAAUUCUAUUAAGCUGAUGCUUCAAUUUUGAAGUUAUUGGUCAAGCUACAAAGGGCUCACGGAGGAUACCUAGGCACACAGAGGC
rnacentral:misc_RNA from 1 species